AUGUCUCUUCUUCUGAUACUUGGAACACUGGGUCUGCUUGCUCAAGUUUCUCAUCAGGAGGUCCAGUCACCUGAAUUACUGUCUGUUAAAGAAUCAGAAUCUGUCUCUAUUAGCUGUACUGGGACCAGUGAAGUUGAUGAUGACAUGAGCUGGUAUCUACAGAAACCUGGAAAAGCUCCUAAACUCCUGAUCUACAAAGCAAGUCAACGUGCAUCUGGAAUCUCAGAUCGGUUCGGUGGAAGUCAAUCUGGACUCCUUUUCACACUGACCAUAAGUGAAGCCAAACCUGCGGAUGCAGGAGAUUAUUACUGUAUGGGGUAUGUGGCGGGUGGAGAAAUGACACGUACACCAGAACUUAAACACACACACCCCGGAGGGGAAUUUAUUUAA